rnacentral:rRNA from 1 species
GACGAACGCUGGCGGCGCGCUUAACACAUGCAAGUCGAGCGAGAACCAGCCCUUCGGGGCUGGGGACAGCGGCGAACGGGUGAGUAACACGUGGGUAAUCUGCCCUCGGCACCGGGAUAGCCCGGGGAAACCCGGGACUUAAUACCGGAUGGCCUUUCGAGCCCUCGGGCUUGAGAGAAAAGGUAGCCUUGGCCUCUGGCCGAGGAUGAGCCCGCGGCCGAUUAGCUUGUUGGUGAGGUAAUGGCCCACCAAGGCGACGAUCGGUAGCUGGUCUGAGAGGACGAUCAGCCACACUGGGACUGAGACACGGCCCAGACUCCUACGGGAGGCAGCAGUGGGGAAUCUUGCGCAAUGGGCGAAAGCCUGACGCAGCGACGCCGUGUGCGGGAAGAAGGCCU